GCCCGAGUGGCGGAACUGGUAGACGCGCACGACUCAAAAUCGUGUUCCUUCACGGAGUGCCGGUUCGAUUCCGGCCUCGGGUA
rnacentral:tRNA from 2 species